UUUUUAUUUUUAUGUCGUGUUUAUCUUGAUUCUGCUUGUUUUCUCCAAUGUAUUUUUGGAUAUUUAUGGUACCAAUUUUAUGCUUUUGUACUCUAUUGGUGACCUUCAAAAAAAAAUAAUUGAGCGCCAUAAACAUAUUCUUUCGUUCACACUAAAAUUGGCAUGCCCCAUUUGAUAUUGCUGCUGUGGUGGAUCUUGAAUGUUUUUCAUUUUUAGUUUAUUGGUUUUGCAAAGGAGUUUCUCAAGUUUAGAUUCUUCGAAUGAAAAAAUUGAUUUUAUCUUCUAUUCUGUAAAGAAUCAUUAUUCUCCAUGCCAUAAAAACAAUUUUUUACCAAAACAACGAGCCAUGUACCCUGACAGUAAAACAUGUUCACAUCCUGCAGCAACAAACAUGGUGUCUACGCAAAAGUGAAGAUAUUAAACUCACGAAAAAAACAGUGUAGGGACAACUGGACUAGUAACAAUGAUAUUAAGGGUGGAAGGUGUUUUGAGGCAGAUGACCUAAAUUUCUCGAUAUAAACGUGUGAUCUCGACCUAUGGUGGGUGGCACUUCAAAACUUCACAUGGCUGCGGGCUCAAAAACUGCCACGAUAGCUCAUUAGCAUCAUUGACCAUAAGAAAUCCUGAAGGAUCUGAACGAUACCCAAUAAACACCAAUGAAAGACAGGUCUUUCACAUUCCCAAAACGGGAAAUUAGAACUAUUUCCUAAGUUGGGUCUUUUGAAUGAGAAAUAUCUCAUAACUAAAUCCUAAAAUAGGGGUAAAACGAAUAUGAACCCAAACAUCAAAAUAAACAAUAUCAAGAGACAAAGUUCUAUUAUUGACACUUAGAAAGAAAGAAAGAAAGAAGAAGACAUUCUACCAUGUCUACCAAACUUAGAUGAUCUAGUCGACAAUGAAUGAGAUAGGGAGACAUGAGAGACACGCGAUGAGGAUAUCAUGAGAUGGAAGGAUCCAUCGGUAACAUGCUAAGAACACUUGAGAUAAUUAGUUAAAGGAUGCUAUUAGAAGUUGAGGGGUCUAGGGGAACCUUAGAUAAAGUUUGAGGAUUUGUUGAAAUAGGUUUGAAGUUGGUGGUGGCGGCAAUGGCAGUGACACCACUUUGCAAAAGGUCCAAACUUUAAGGGGAAGAAUGCUCUUUCCUCUUUUUCACUGAAGAUAUCAAAUAUUAAGAGAAAAUGACUACCUAGAAAACAAGAUGAAUGAGUUUCUCCAUCCCCCUCCUUUCCUACAAUUUUAGUUUUUGUUCGCCUUAACACAUAAAAUUAAAUAGUUCCUUGGAAGCAACUCAGUGUCGAAUUCGUCAAAAUGAGAAAUCCUACCUAACGCUACAUUUACCAAGAUGACAAGUUCAAAGAAACUAACCACAGAUUGAUAGCUUGAAA